CCAGACUCCUACGGGAGGCAGCAGUGGGGAAUAUUGCACAAUGGGGGGAACCCUGAUGCAGCAAUGCCGCGUGAAGGAUGAAGGUUUUCGGAUUGUAAACUUCUUUUGUACGGGACGAAGAAAAUGACGGUACCUGAGUAAGAAGCCCCGGCUAACUACGUGCCAGCAGCCGCGGUAAUACGUAGGGGGCAAGCGUUAUCCGGAUUUACUGGGUGUAAAGGGAGCGUAGACGGCCAGACAAGUCUGAAGUGAAAAUCCAGCGCUUAACGUUGGAAGUGCUUUGGAAACUGCCGGGCUAGAGUGCAGGAGGGGCAGGCGGAAUUCCUAGUGUAGCGGUGAAAUGCGUAGAUAUUAGGAGGAACACCAGUGGCGAAGGCGGCCUGCUGGACUGCAACUGACGUUGAGGCUCGAAGGCGUGGGGAGCAAACAGGAUUAGAUACCCGCGUAU
rnacentral:rRNA from 1 species